rnacentral:rRNA from 1 species
GCAAGUCGAACGAGAAAAUCUUGCUUGCAAGAUGAGUAAAGUGGCGCACGGGUGAGUAACGCGUUGUUAAUCUACCUUUGGGACAGGGAUAACACUUCUAAAGUGGUGCUAAUACCUGAUACGAUGCGAACUUCACAAGGAGUUUGCAUGAAAGGUGACCUCUUCCUUGAAAGUUGCCGCUCGAAGAUGAGCCCGCGUCCGAUUAGCUUGUUGGUGGGGUAAUGGCCUACCAAGGCUCAGAUGGGUAGCUGGUCUGAGAGGAUGAUC